rnacentral:misc_RNA from 1 species
GAUGAAGAACGAAGCGAAAUGCGAUAAGUAAUGUGAAUUGCAGAAUUCAGUGAAUCAUCGAAUCUUUGAACGCACAUUGCGCCCGUCAGUAUUCUGGCGGGCAUGCCUGUUCGAGCGUCAUUACGCCCCUCAAGUCCCCUGUGGACUUGGUGUUGGGGAUCGGCGAGGCUGGUUUUCCAGCACAGCCGUCCCUUAAAUUAAUUGGCGGUCUCGCCGUGGCCCUCCUCUGCGCAGUAGUAAAACACUCGCAACAGGAGCCCGGCGCGGUCCACUGCCGUAAAACCCCCCAACUUUUUAUAGUUGACCUCGAAUCAGGUAGGACUACCCGCUGAACUUAAGCAUAUCAAUAAGCGGAGGA